AGAGGUCAGGCAAAUGUUUGCGGAGGAUUUAGAGGUCUCAGUGAGGGAGAAACUUCCUUAUGACCAGCAUCUUCCAUUUCUUGUAGGCUGGGCCAUUCACCAAAGUGACUAAAUUCAAAGACAGAGAAGAAAAGCUGAAGUCUGUGUUUGUCUGCUUUGACCCACUCAGAAUCCAAAUCUUAGGCUUUGCUAAGUGAAAUUUGCUUAUAUGGAAGAUCAAUUAAUACGUUGAAUCUGUUUGGGAGUUCUUGCUCCUCUGAGUCCUGAGAACAAAUCAAGAUAAAUGCACCAGAGAGUUUGCAGUGGCAUGCAUGUAAUUAAAUUUUGCAACUUCCUUACUCCCAGAUGGCAGUGGUACGUAAUGCACAUCCUUGUCCUCAUACUGUUUGUGUUCCAGAUCUGCAGGUUGGACCCAGCUCUUAGGAAUGGACCCACUGACAACCAGAUUGUCACCUAUAAAUAAACUGGGAUUCAAAGUGGAUCUGUCGAUUUUCUGAAAGAAAGUCAACUUAGAAAACGCACAACAUGGAAGUUGCCAGUUAAGUUUUAUUUUGGGCAAAAUGAGGACUGCAGCCUGGGAGACUGCACUUCAGAGAGCUCUGAGAAACUGCUUCAAAGAGACAGAUGGAGGAAGGUCAGUAUAUACAUGAUUUUGGUGAAGGGGGAAAUACAUGCAGUCAAGCACAUGUUUUUCCAGAAGUUUUCUGCUGGUCAGGAGGAACAGUUUCCACCAUGAAGGAUUUUAGUGCUUUUCUAGAUAUGAGGAGAUACAAGAGUUGGCCUCAUAAAAUAGGCUCCUGAAAAUGUCUAACGAUGUGAAGACCUAUCCUGCCAGUUUUUUUCCCCCUGAGCACAGAGUGCCUCACUUUUGCUCUCCACACUGAACUCCUUUCAGAGGGUGUUGAAACUCAAUAGGGGUGGCAGCAAAUAAUUUAAUCUUCAUAGAGAUAGAGGGUAAGUGCCCAUGGCAAACGCCAAUUUGUAGUUGACAGAAAACAGUGCAAAUAUUUUCAGAGUUGCAAGUUGUUCUUAAUGGAAAACUGAAUAUGUGAAGUUUUAUUUCAUUUGUUAAUACUUUAGAUAACAUUUUACUUUUUCUAAGUAUGCUGUUUCAGAGUCUUAUUCUCCUGCGUUUAUUUCAUAAAUUGAAGACAUAUGAUACUGAUAUCAAAGGGAAAAAACCCAUCAUAACUAGUCUUUAGAUCAUUCCCUUUUGCAAUGAUUGUAUAUAAAUAAAAGAUACAAGCUCUUUACUUCUCACUUAUUAAUUGUAUUUAAUGAAAAUCAGUUGGCAGUUCAGUAUUUGUUACCCACCUCUCUUGCCAGCUAGAUAUGAGAAGGUAUGUUUAACAUAUUUAAAUCUGGAUAACUUAAUAAGCAAGCAAAUAGAAAUAUUUCGUUGAUGUAUAACAUUUAAUAUUUAUUGUCCAAAUCUAAUUUCCUAUAUAAAAUAUAUGGGUUAUACGGGGGGGAAACUAAUCAUGUAAUUACAUUACAACUCAACAGUUGUAUUCCUGGGCAUUUAUCCCAGAGAAGACAUUUUCACACAAAAACUUGUACAUGAAUGUUAAUAGCAGCUUUGUUUUACCUGAAAACUGAAAACAACCCAAAUGCCCUUCAAUGGAUAAACAACCCAGGUGUAUGCCCAUAUCACGUGAUACUACUCAGUGAGAAAUGACCUACUGACACGUGCCACUAUGUGGAUGGGUUUCAAGAAUCUUAUGCUGAAGGAAAUAAGGCGAUCCCAGAAGAUAACAUACUACAUGAUUUUAUUUAUGCAGCAUUCUUGAAAUGACAAAAUUACAGAAAUGGAGAACAGAUUAGUGAUUGCCAGAGAUUAAGGAAGGAGUAGGUGUGAAAGAAAAGUGGCAGCCUGGGCAAUCUGAAGACUGGGAAUCUUUCUUUAUCUUGACUCUACCAAUAUAACCUGGUUAUAAUAUUGUACUAUGUUACAAGCUGUUACCAUUGUGGGAACCUGCAUAAAGAAUAAGAUGAUCCCUGGCUAUUAUUUAUAACUACAUGUGAAUCAACAAUUAUCACAAAUUUUUUUAAGUUUAAUUUCUAAAAAUCUGUGUUUUUAUUUAUUUGUUGUUUAUUUUUUCUUUGGAUUAGUCUAUGUCAUAUUUGUAUAGGGUGCAAUGUGAUCUUAACAUAAAAGAUAUUUUUUACUUAUAUUCUACAUUCAGCCUCAUUUUUUAAAAAAGGGAGUUAUUUUAAACUGGGUACUUUUGUUACAUGUUGUUACAUUUAGAAGACCACAACUCAGUCGAUAAAUCAUCUGCCUCAAUGCAGGAGACCUGGUUCGAUUCCUGGGUGGGGAAGAUCCCUUGGAGAAGGAAAUGGCAACUCACUCCAGUAUUCUUGCCUGGAGAAUUCCCUGGACAGAGGAGCCGGGCGGACUACAGCUUAUGGGGUCGCAAGAGCUGGACAUGAUUUAACCACUAAACCAACCAACCAUAAACACAAAGAUUCCCCUUGAUAGUUUUGACCUACUUCUUGGUUUCAUUGUUAAAAGUUCUGCUAUCAUUUCUCAAACGUCUAACCUUUCUGUCAUUUAUUUUAAUAUUUCAAAAUCAUAACAUGAGGAAAGCGCUAAGUUGGUUUGGUACAAAGUGGCUUUAAAUACUCCAAUACCCACAGCACGUAUGGACAGCGGUGUUUUGGGAAAAGGAACAAAAACUUCUCUCGCCGGACAGCCUGGAAUCUUUGCGCUGACUUUAAACUUCUCUCCAACAGUCAGCAGCGCGCUAACGGUAAUAGGCCGACAGUCCUGAGUGACGUCUGGACGCCAGGUCGGGGCAGUGCAAGCUGCGCGCCACUGCCCUGCUUCGAGCCGCUGACGGAUCCCGGCGGUGCUUUAAUAGCGGUCCUACGUGGCAGAAUUGGGAACUGCAGGCACUCGGCGGCAUCCUGGACCCCUGCGAGGAGGAGCGGCAGCCCCGUAUUUUCCUCUAGCCUUCGCCCAAGGAAGAAAAGCACUGGAAUGGAGCCAGGAUGCUCCGGGCCUGGCCCUGUCCGCACUGCACACGCGUGCAGCGGGCCGGGGUCACAGUCCUAGUGCCGCUCCAGCAAGCGGGGGAGGAGUGAUAAGCCAUUUGUGCUUGGCUUGGCACGCCCUGGACCACCCUGUGGAGUUCUCAGGGUUACGGGGCUUGGAGGAAGGAGGGGAAUGAAGAGUUCAUUGGGCUUGGGAAUCUUCAGUUUGGGGAAUUAAUGCCAAGCAGCCUUCUGAAAUGGUCCUUAGGUCCAGUUUCUGUCCGUAUUAUUCAGUCUCGGUGUUGUGAUCUUUUUUUUUCCCCUUCUAGUGGUGUGAAAGGGCAAGUUUUAAUUUGCUUCUUCAGGACCUGCUUUGCUCCCAUUCUUCCCCAUUUUACUAAGAGGCAUCGCUGCCCACCCAUACCCUCAAGCCGGAUCCUAGGAGUCGUCCUGAAUUUCCCUCUCCUCUCUCCGUAUCAACAAGCCCUGUUGCUUCCACUUCCAAACACGUCCUUUUCUCUCCACUUCAUUAAUGACUUUCUCAAAGCUUCCAAAGAUCUCCCUCUGCCCCUAGUAUGCAAACACAACGAGCUUCCUGAAAUAUGAAUCAAAUUCUGGCAUCCUCCAUUCAAAAGCCACCCCCUCCCCACCUCUCCAAAUUCCUCUGUUUACUGGUCUCCAGCCUUGUGGACCACCGCCGCCUUCUCUUUAACCAUGUCAAGCCUGUUUGUACAAACUGAGGAGGGCUUUUCCCUGUCAAUGGCGGCCUCACUGUCAUCCUUCAGAUCUCAGUUCAAAAGCCCCUCCACAGAGAGGCCUUAUCUAAAGGAGGAUCUUCACACCUAAUCAACUCCAGCCAAUUACUCUUUCAUAUCACCAGGUUUUUUCUGUCAUAGAUAAGAGAUUCUGGUAUUUAUUGUUUAUCCCUUUCACUGAAAUAUUAGUUCCAUAAAGGCUAGACUGUUUAUCUUGAUCACAGCUAACUUUGUAAUACCAAGCACAAUGUCUGCUUAGAGAAGGCAUUCAAUAUGUUUGAAUUACUAAAUAGAUGAAAAACCAUUUAGUCUACUAAAAAAUUGGGGAUGGUGGUAAAUGUGGCUACUACACUAUGAAAAUGGAUCAGGAGGUGUGAGCGUUGCACAGCAGAGAUUCACUCAAAACAACGACAUGGAUUUUACAUGAAGUCAGAGGAACCCCUUCCCUAACACAGAACAAGUAUUCCUGUGGA